CUGGCCCACCCGUUCCCCAGACCUGAAUCCAAUUGAGCACAUCUGGGACAUCAUGUCUCGCUCCAUCCACCAAUGUCACGUUGCACCACAGACUGUCCAGGAGUUGACAGAUGCUUUAGUCCAGGUCUGGGAAGAGAUCCCUCAGGAGACCAUCCGCCACCUCAUCAGGAGCAUGCACAGGCGUUGUAGGGAGGUCAUACAGGCACGUGGAGGCCACACACUACUGAGCCUCAUUUUGACUUGUUUUAAGGACAUUACAUCAAAGUUGGAUCAGCCUGUAGUGUGUUUUUCCACUUUAAUUUUGAGUGUGACUCCAAAUCCAGACCUCCAUGG